UGGGGAGCUUGCUCCCCAUGAAAGUGGCGCACGGGUGCGUAACGCGUAUGCAACCUACCUUAAUCAGGGGGAUAGCCCGAAGAAAUUCGGAUUAACACCGCAUAACAUAUUACCUCGGCAUCGAGGAAAUAUCAAAUAUUUAUAGGAUUAAGAUGGGCAUGCGUGACAUUAGUUAGUUGGUGAGGUAACGGCUCACCAAGACGACGAUGUCUAGGGGAUCUGAGAGGAUGACCCCCCACACUGGUACUGAGACACGGACCAGACUCCUACGGGAGGCAGCAGUAAGGAAUAUUGGUCAAUGGGCGGAAGCCUGAACCAGCCAUGCCGCGUGCAGGAAGACUGCCCUAUGGGUUGUAAACUGCUUUUGUCGGGGAAUAAACCUUUUUACGUGUAAAAAGCUGAAUGUACUCGAAGAAUAAGGAUCGGCUAACUCCGUGCCAGCAGCCGCGGUAAUACGGAGGAUCCAAGCGUUAUCCGGAUUUAUUGGGUUUAAAGGGUGCGUAGGCGGCUUUUUAAGUCAGGGGUGAAAG
rnacentral:rRNA from 1 species